rnacentral:rRNA from 1 species
CCUACGGGUCGCACCAGUGGGGAAUAUUGGACAAUGGGCGAAAGCCUGACCCAGCAAUGCCGCGUGUGUGAAGAAGGUCUUCGGAUUGUAAAGCACUUUCGACGGGGACGAUGAUGACGGUACCCGUAGAAGAAGCCCCGGCUAACUACGUGCCAGCAGCCGCGGUAAUACGAAGGGGGCUAGCGUUGCUCGGAAUGACAGGGCGUAAAGGGCGCGUAGGCGGUUUAUGCAGUCAGUUGUGAAAUCCCCGGGCUUAACCUGGGAACUGCAUUUGAGACGCAUAGACUAGAGGUCGAGAGAGGAUUGUGGAAUUCCCAGUGUAGAGGUGAAAUUCGUAGAUAUUGGGAAGAACACCGGUGGCGAAGGCGGCAACCUGGCUCGAUACUGACGCUGAGGCGCGAAAGCGUGGGGAGCAAACAGGAUUAGAUACCCUCGUAGUC